UUUCCGUAGGUGAACCUGCGGAAGGAUCAUUAGUGAAUAUUAGGGCGUCUACUUCGGUAGGGCCUGACCUCCACUUUCUAACUCUGUGCACUUAUUUGGCGGAAAAGGGAAUUAGUAAUCCGUCUAAUGACGAUUGCGACUUCUUACUUUCUGCGGCUUACUUUAAACACUAGUCAAAGUAUGUAACGAAAUAUCGAAACAAAUAAAAACUUUCAACAACGGAUCUCUUGGCUCUC
rnacentral:misc_RNA from 1 species